rnacentral:rRNA from 2 species
UCGAGGGGUAACGGGGAAGCUUGCUUCCGCCGACGACCGGCGCACGGGUGCGUAACGCGUAUACAAUCUACCUUUUGCUGUGGGAUAGCCCAGAGAAAUUUGGAUUAAUACCGCAUAGUAUAUAAUAGUGGCAUCACUAAUAUAUUAAAGAUUACGGCAAAAGAUGAGUAUGCGUUCUAUUAGCUAGAUGGUGUGGUAACGGCACACCAUGGCAACGAUAGAUAGGGGCCCUGAGAGGGGGAUCCCCCACACUGGUACUGAGACACGGACCAGACUCC